rnacentral:rRNA from 1 species
CCCUGCAAGCCGCGGUAAUUCCAGCUCCAAUAGCGUAUAUUAAAGUUGCUGCAGUUAAAAAGCUCGUAGUUGGAUCUCGGUAUCACUGUUGCCUGUCAGUCUUUGGGCAGUUAGCUGCUGGAGCAUAGGCGAUGCUUGUGUUUUCAUGGCUGACUUGUUCAAGCUGGCGUGGCGAUGGUGUCACCUUUCAGCCAUGUCUGUGGUGAAAUAUCCACAGGUGCAGAUGAGUGUCGGGCGGUGCCUUGCGAAAGCGGGGUCCGUCGGCUUGUUUGCAUGCCUAUAGAUGCCCUUUAAAAGGUGUCUGCAGGCGGAUGGCACGUUUACUUUGAACAAAUUUGAGUGCUCAAACCAGGCCGAUGUUGCCUGAAAAGUUUUGCAUGGAAUAAUGGAAUAGGACUUCGGUUCUAUUUCGUUGGUUUUCGGAUCCGAAGUAAUGAUCAAAAGAGACAGGCGGGGACGUUUGUAUGGCUGCGCUAGAGGUGAAAUUCAUGGACCGUACCAGACAAACUAAAGCGAAAGCAUUCGUCAAGCAUGUUUUCAUUGCCAUGAGCGAAAGUCAGAGGCUCGAAGACGAUCAGAUACCGUCCUAGUUCUGACCAUAAACGAUGCCAACUGACGAUCCGUGGUGGUAGUGAAAUAACCUUCCCACGGGCAGUCCCCGGGAAACCUUUAAGUCUUUGGGUUCCGGGGGAAGUAUGGNUGCAAACUUAAACUUAAAGGAAUUGACGGAAAGGCACCACCAGGAAUGGACCUGCGGCUUAAUUUGACUUAACACGGGAAAACUUACCCGGCCCGGACACUAUGAGGAUUGACAGAUUAAAAGCUCUUUCUUGAUUUGGUGGUUGGUGGUGCAUGGCCGUUCUUAGUUGGUGGAGCGAUUUGUCUGGUUAAUUCCGAUAACGAACGAGACUCCAGCCUGCUAAUUAGUGCAUCUGUCCACUGUGUCUGUGUAGCGGCAUCCGGCAAGGCUGCUUCCGUCGGCUGUUUUGGUGUGUUGCCUUCUGGUGGCACAUCUUGAUGGUUGGAUGUGGCUGGUUCGGUGUUAGCUUCCGGGCAUGGCGCGGGUGUUAACUUCUUAGAGGGACAAGCGUAAGAAGGCGCACGAAAUUGAGCAAUAACAGGUCUGUGAUGCCCUUAGAUGUCCGGGGCCGCACGCGCGCUACAAUGACGGUGGCAAUGAGUCUGACCUUCUGGCCCGAAAGGGUUGGACAAACUGGUCAAUCACCGUCAUGACAGGGAUCGGGGCUUGGAAUUGUUCCCCGUGAACGAGGAAUUCCUAGUAAGUGCAAGUCAUAAGCUUGCGCUGAUUACGUCCCUGCCCUUUGUACACACCGCCCGUCGCUACUACCGAUUGAAUGGUUUAGUAAGGUCCUUGGAUUGGUGCCGUUGUGGUGGGUGCCGAAAGGUAAUCACCCGAAAGGCGCUGAGAAGACGACCAAACUUGAUCAUUUAGAGGAAGUAAA